GAUGAAGAACGUAGUGAAAUGCGAUAAGUAAUGUGAAUUGCAGAAUUCAGUGAAUCAUCGAAUCUUUGAACGCACAUUGCGCCCGCCAGUAUUCUGGCGGGCAUGCCUGUCCGAGCGUCAUUUCAACCCUCGAACCCCUCCGGGGGGUCGGCGUUGGGGAUCGGCCCUUUCACCGGGUGCCGGCCCCUAAAUACAGUGGCGGUCUCGCCGCAGCCUCUCAUGCGCAGUAGUUUGCACACUCGCACCGGGAGCGCGGCGCGUCCACGUCCGUAAAACACCCCAACUUCUGAAAUGUUGACCUCGGAUCAGGGAGGAAUACCCGCUGAACUUAAGCAUAUCAAUAAGCGGAGGA
rnacentral:misc_RNA from 1 species